GCUGCUGAAAGCGCAAUUGGUUUAGCGCUUAUUAUAAUUGGAUAAAGCAUUAGUUUGCGGAGCUAAAUAUGAUUGUUCGAUUCAAUCCUAGCAGUA
rnacentral:tRNA from 1 species